AAAUACUAAAUAAGUCUUCAUCAUUUACUUGCUUUGCCCUUGCCCUUACUUGUGGAUGGCUCAUCAACUUUCUCAAUCUUAGCUGCAAUGUUAUUAUGCAAGAGUGAGCAACAAUUGCCCACAAGUUUAACAAUAGUAAUAAUAAUAACAUGCGAAUAAUCAAUGGAUACUGAACAAAAGAAAGCUUGGCUUUUGAAUCAAGAUUAGAACAAAAAUCAAAAGUACAUCUGAGGGUCACAAGACCAUGAACUAUGUCCUAGGUUAUCAAGUAUUUCUACUUUAAACCUUUAACAGUUGUAAGACUAUAUGAACCUUGCUUCUCGUACUUAGGGGGAUCAGUACCAUGUAUGUGCACAACAUAUUAACGCUAUCACGUAAUAUAAUCCCCCAUAACAGGGUUGUUCAUCUCAGCUUUGACGUUUGAGUCCGCACCAAAGGAAGUUUGGUUUGGAUUAGCUUCAAGGGUAAUUUAGAGUUCAAUAAUCAUCAACUAAGGAUUAGUUGAAUCGAUAAGGAAUCACUAUCCAUCCAAGGUUUCAAUGCAAUAUCGAAAUCAAUAAUCAAAUCAAAGAUUGAAUCUCAACUCUAUAUAAUUGACUGAAAAGAUUGGUCUCGUUCGUCACACUACUAGAAUCCGUUAUAUUUGUAACAAGCUGGGCAUGAUUGAUAUACAUGCUCCAACUUGUGGGAAGUGUUAGAUUAAUCUAGAUGAUUCUAGGAUUCUAUGAUUGAUUUGAUUAGGAGUGAUUAGUGGUAGGAUUAUUCUAGAAGCGUGGUUAGUGGUAAUCACUUAUCAUUAUGAUUUACUUUUCAUAUUUAGCUUCGACACUUGGCCUAUAUAAAAGCUCUCUAUUGUACACAUUAUGAUAUGGAAUAAUAUUGAUUUUUAUGGAUAAAUUCUAUUAAAAAAAUGUUGUUGAUGUUGUUCUGUCAAAUGACUUGUCCUUUUCUUUUCUUUAUUUUUUUUUUAAAAAAAUAACUAAAAUUUAAUGACCAGGCCUUUGACAGAGAAGAGAAAGAACUAACAUAUGUGCUGUAAUGAGCAGUACUUAAUAGUAAAUUUAUCUGUUCUUAUUGUUCUUUUUUUUUUCUUGAUAAAUUCUCAAGUAUAUUGACAUUUAUCCACAAGUUCCUGCAUUAUAGUUUCAGUAAUCACCUAUCUUGCCACAGAAAAUUUAAACUGUUGUUUGUAUUUUACCUUUCAUCAGCUAUACAGAAAAAAGGGCAUAAUGAUCCAUGAAGAAUGAAUUUUUAAGCCUACUUUUAAUUGCAAUUGGUUAAAUGAUUAAGGAUUAUCUAUUUCUUUAUUGUAAACUCUAUUUGUUUAUCUAGUAUAUUGGAGUAUUGGACUUAGAUGUUGGGCUGGCCAGCUAAAGAAAGUAUAUUCUGUCAAUGUAUUUUGUCAAUCAUUCAAUUUAGACAUUCUUUUGCUUCUGAAAAUAUUUUGUUCUUUGAUUUUUGUGUGUAUUUAAAUAAUCACGUAUAUUGUCUUUCAAAAAUCACAUGUUCAUCCCAUAUAGGGAACGAGUUUUCUAAUAUAUUGUAUAAUUCCUUAAUCCAUCGAAAUAGUUUCAGAAGAAGUCUGCAAUUGCUUGUGCGUAAAUUUCUUGCAAUUGCUAGGUUUCGAUUUGCCCACCCUCUGAGCUUGCAUUACUCAGUUGUUAGUUUCAAGAUUUUUUUAUAAUAAGUUAGUUUCAAGAUUUUAUUGGACUUCUAUUUCUCUAUCUCUGACAUAUUAAUUCAUCUACAGACCAGGAUUAAGGUCUACUAUAACAGGCUUUCUUCCAAGUGUCAUUCUCAGUGGAUGUAUAUACGUUGUUCCGUUUGCCAUGAUUGCAAUGGCUAGACUAGCAGGUUAUGUAUCGAGGAGUAGAAAGGAUAUAAAGGCUUGCAACAUGGUCUUCUAUUUUUUAGUGGGAAAUGUAUUCUUCUUAAGCUUAUUAUCAGGUUCUUUACUUGAUCAAAUUGGACAGUCGUUCAGCCAUCCCAAAAAUAUUCCUGGUCAUCUUGCAGGCGCGGUUUCUGCUCAAGUAAGUUUGAUCCAGCUCUUAAUCAGGCCUUUUACAUGUUAUUGCUUGUAUUGCACCUCUGGUUUCUAGAAGAUUUCAUCUAAAUGGUCAUUAAUAUGAGUAGCUAGCAUGUUAUCUACAGUACAUCAGAUUGCAUCUCUAGUUUAUUCUAUACCAGGGUUUAAUCUCGAAAUUUCCCUUCUGUUAGUUCCUGUGUGGGUGGACUUCUUGUCCCCCCUACUUCUUUUGUUCCUCUCCUUUUCUAUUAAUAAAAUUUCUUCAGUUACCUUAAAAAAAUAAAACUAAAUAUAUGAUAACCUUCCUGAUAAUUUUACAUUGUAACAUUAUAAUUUAGUUACUGGCUUAUGAAUCUGUGUUAUCUAUUCCAGGCAGACUUCUUUAUGACAUAUAUUCUGACAAGUGGACUGUCGGGAUUUUCUCUGGAAGUUCUUCAGCCUGGGUUACUUAUCUGGAAUUAUAUAAAGUUGCAUACAUUUGGCCGUGGAAAAAAGAAAAAUCCUUAUCUCUACUCACUGCCUUAUUACAGAAUUAUUCCUUUUAUUUGUCUCUUUAUACUGAUUGGCAUGGUAUAUGCAGUCGUCGCACCAUUGCUGCUCCCAUUUCUAAUUGGUUAUUUCCUUUUAGGCUAUGUUGUGUUUAUUAACCAGGUAAGAAUCCUACAAUUUUGAUUUUUCUUACUUAAAGUCUCUGUAUCUUAUUCUCAUCAUGUAAAUUCUGCUUCUCUUGAUUCUUUUUUUAUUUUUUAUAUCCCACAUGGCACUUUGAAACAAUGAUAAGAAUCCAUUAAUGCAGUAUUAAUUAAGCCAGAAUAUGGGUUUGGAGUGAAAUAUAAGGAGGAAUGUAAGUAUAUAUGUUUGCAUUUGGUAUUUUAUCUUCAAGUUUCGAUUUAAUCGUCAUUAAUGGUUCUUGUUAGCUUCCAUCAAUAAGUAAAGCAAAAAGGAGCUGAAUUGAUUGCUCUUUGAGCUAACGCGUUAGUUUGAUGCCAUCAUUAGCAAAAGAAUGUAUGCAGUGUGUGUUGCUGCAAGAUUGUCUCAGUGAGGACUAUGCAAGUGGAUAACAGGAAUACCAAGGUCUUGAAAUAAAUGUGACGGCCAUGACAUUUCUGAAUAUACUGACCCUAAAGCUUUAUAUUAAGAAAUGCUAGAAUGGGAGACGAAGAAAUCAUUCUAACCAGUAUGCCCAGUUAGAUGAAAUGAUUGAUUAGUGUGAUGGGAAUUUCAUAAUGGUGGGACUCUUUUAGUCAAAGAAAGCAUUCUCUUAACAGUUGUAAGAUGUUAAAAAGUGGGUGCAUACAAAAGAAUAAACUUGGUUUACAGAAUCAUUCGAGUCUAUACUGAAGUAGAAAGAACUCCAGGAAAUUGUAGGUGCCUACUCUGAUUGAAGAAAGAAGAAUGUGAAGUAUUAGUUGAUUUAGAACCAGAUGUGAAAGGAGGGUAACAUACUAUGUAGCUAGCCUACCAUUUUGCUGCAAUAAAUUAGCAGAGUAAAGGUCAUCUCUUUUAGAUUUAAUGCCUUAGUGGAACGAAGAUUGAGCAAGUUUAUCAUGGAUUUUUCUUUCAAAGUGUGUUAGAUGUUGAUUUUAAAGGGGUGUAUAAUCACCAAUAUAGAUCAUAUUGGUACAAAACAAUUGACUUUGAAAUGUGAGAUGAUGGUAUUUGUGAAGGGAAAGCAAAAGGAACAUGAAAUUUUCAGUUUCAGUGUAGACUUUCGUUUGAAGUAAGACAGAACUAAAUAAUCCCAUGGAGUUUGAUAUUAGCUUGAUUUGAGCAUUUUACAAACACAUGAUAUGCGUUUUUGGUCCCUCCCCACUAUAGUUUAGGCUUUUAGAGCAGUUGGUAACUAUUAGAGCUCUGGGUAUGCAAGAGAUCUAAGUUUUCAAGUUCCUGGGUUCAAGGCUGAUAGGGAUAGAUCCAUGAAAAGACAAUUAUCGCGGAUGAUUUGCUAUUUACUCCCUUCAUCCCUUAAUAUAUUUUAUUUUAGAUGAUUUCAUUUUUAUGUAAUUAUUUGUCGUUUUAUAUAAUUGAAGAGAAUUAACUACAUCUUUACAAAAUUACUCUCAUGAGAAAAUAUUAAGGAUAAGAGAAUAUAAGAUAAUUAUGAUAAUUAUGAGAAUUUAAAGAUAUUAUAGAGAAUUGAUAUUAUAUUUAAUACUUCCUCCGUCUCGGUAGACUUUUCACGCAUAUUAAAAAGAGGAAUAAAAUGACAAAAUUGUCUAUAAUAAUGUCAUUAAAUAUGGAAAAAGAAUUAGAAUGAGAAAAAUAUGAGAUAUUUAAUGCUACGAGCAUAAUAGGAAAAAAUGUGUAAAAAUUUAAUUAUUAAAGAAAAGUGAACAUUUAACAUAGGACAAUCUAAAAUAGUAAUAAGAACUUUUAUCCGGGAAUAUUAUACAAUCAUUUCUUUAAUUUUUGUGCACAACUCUAAAAUUACCCGGACCAUCCAUUGUUGAAGCCGACCUAUCAGAUCGUCCACCCCAAAAUUGUGACCCACAUCGUGACUUAAAUAUCGCGACCCAAACAUUCCUCCAAAGCCCAACUACCAACACACCAAUCAUUGCAGUCGAAUCCCAAAUCGCUAUUGGGAAAGGAAACAGAAAAAAAAGAAAAAGAAAGGGCCGACAGAGAUUGUGUUGUUGCCGUCGUCAGAAAAGCACUGCCAUCGUCACUACUCGUUGAUCCUUCUGCCACCGUCGCUACUCGCUGCAUCUCUUCAUCCUCUGCGUAUGCGUGUUUUGGAGAAUAAGGGAGAUAAUCCGUAACCCUUACUUUCCUAAAGUAAUAAAUCCUUGCACAAUUACAUUUUAAUAUCCUAAACUUUCGCUUUCCAUUUAAUAUUGUCUCACACUAUUAGUUUUCAUCUUUUCACCCCUGCUUUUUGCAUAAAAAGCUCUAAACUUUUAACCUUAGCACUUUUCACCCCGUCUCAUACUUUCUGAUCAGUUAGGUCCAAAAAAAAAAGUAAAAAUUUCAUAUUUGAAUAUUAGGAUUUUAAAUACUUAAUCACUU
rnacentral:lncRNA from 1 species